rnacentral:rRNA from 1 species
CCUACGGGUGGCUGCAGUGAGGAAUAUUGGUCAAUGGGCGCGAGCCUGAACCAGCCAAGUAGCGUGAAGGAUGACUGCCCUACGGGUUGUAAACUUCUUUUAUAAAGGAAUAAAGUGCGGCACGUGUGCCUUUUUGUAUGUACUUUAUGAAUAAGGAUCGGCUAACUCCGUGCCAGCAGCCGCGGUAAUACGGAGGAUCCGAUCGUUAUCCGGAUUUAUUGGGUUUAAAGGGAGCGUAGAUGGGUUGUUAAGUCAGUUGUGAAAGUUUGCGGCUCAACCGUAAAAUUGCAGUUGAUACUGGCAGGCUUGAGUACAGUUGAGGCAGGCGGAAUGCGUGGUGUAGCGGUGAAAUGCUUAGAUAUCACGAAGAACCCCGAUUGCGAAGGCAGCUUACUAAACUGCCACUGACAUUGAUGCGCGAAAGUGUGGGUAUCAAACAGGAUUAGAUACCCCAGUAGUC